GAGGAUAUAACUCAGUGGUAGAGCCUGUGCUUAGCAUGCACAAGGUCCGGGGUUCUAUCCCAGAGCCACA
rnacentral:tRNA from 1 species